UUCAUGGUGGCUACUCGAAGCGUGCAUAUCUUUGUGUGGAAGUAAAAAACCCAAGGAUUAUACGUAUGCUCAACUUGGACAAAAUCAAAGAUGAUUCCACUAAUACUGCAACCCAAUCCAGUACAACCCAGUGGAAGAAUGACCAGAAAAGCAAAAAUAUUUUAAGAAACUAUGGGAUAUUUUCUCGUCGUAGUCAACAUGAGACACAUUCUCUUCUUAAGGUUCUACCGAAAAGCAAAGAGGGGGUGAUCGGAAAGGACCAAAAUGUUCAAGAAAACUCUUAAUGACUAACUAAAAAUGAAGGUUUUUCUAAUAAAGGCAAGUGCCAAAAUGUACCGUAUAAAUAUAUUUUGUGAUUAUGCAUGUAAUAAUUAAUAAACGUUUUAAAAUUCAAA
rnacentral:lncRNA from 1 species